GAUGAAGAACGUAGCGAAAUGCGAUAAGAAAUGUGAAUUGCAGAAUUCAGUGAAUCAUCGAAUCUUUGAACGCACAUUGCGCCCGCCAGUAUUCUGGCGGGCAUGCCUGUUCGAGCGUCAUUUCAACCAUCAAGCCCCCGGCUUGUGUUGGGGACCUGCGGCUGCCGCAGGCCCUGAAAAGCAGUGGCGGGCUCGCUGUCACACCGAGCGUAGUAGCAUACAUCUCGCUCUGGGCGUGCUGCGGGUUCCGGCCGUUAAACCACCUUCAUAACCCAAGGUUGACCUCGGAUCAGGUAGGAAGACCCGCUGAACUUAAGCAUAUCAAUAAGCGGAGGA
rnacentral:misc_RNA from 1 species